GUCCACGCCCUAAACGAUGUCAACUAGCUGUUGGGCCGGUUACGGCUUAGUAGCGCAGCUAACGCGUGAAGUUGACCGCCUGGGGACUACGGUCGCAAGACUAAAACUCAAAGGAAUUGACGGGGACCCGCACAAGCGGUGGAUGAUGUGGAUUAAUUCGAUGCAACGCGAAAACCUUACCUACCCUUGACAUGCCUGGAAGCUUUUAAGAGAUUAAAGUGUGCUCGCAAGAGAACCGGUGCACAGGUGCUGCAUGGCUGUCGU
rnacentral:rRNA from 1 species